rnacentral:lncRNA from 1 species
GCGCCUUGUCUGCCCUUAAAGCGCCCACUGGGCGGCCGAGCCCCACUCCUCUCGUCCAGACGCACGACGGGAGUUGCGCCUAGCUCUCGUGCGUCCCGGGUUCGCUUUUCUUUCCUUUCCGAAGCCUGGCCCUUAGAUCCACCACCGCAGAGUCUCCGGCCGCCAGGAAGCGCAGAUCCCAGUGUCCGGAGACUAACCGGAAGUGCCGUCCCCAGGCCCAGGGGCGGCGCCGGCGGCUGCCUGGGAGAGGGAAGAACUGACUGUCCCUGUGGACUAGGGACAUUUUGAAACCAAAAGGAAGAUGGUUUUGAGUCUUUCUUGUUACGAAUGCUGUCUUCCUCGAGAAGUCAAAUUCUCAGGAUCAAGGAUGCACAUUUUCUUCCAUCUGGAUUCUAGGUAAGCUACAGCUACUUCAGCCUUGACAUGUCCCUUCUCUUUCCCAGACUCCAUCUCAUCAGAGUAGCUCCCAUUCCUUG